rnacentral:rRNA from 1 species
UGAGACAACGUACAAACCUUAUCGAUAAACAAUUGGAGGGCAAGUCUGGUGCCAGCAGCCGCGGUAAUUCCAGCUCCAAUAGCGUAUAUUAACGUUGUUGCAGUUAAAAAGCUCGUAGUUGAAAUGAAGGGUAGUUGUGUAAUGAAUACAUUCGUGUAUUUUGUUAUUCAACUACCCUCCUUCUAAAUUCGAUAUAUGAGUAUUAAUUUACUUGUAUAUGGUUUUAGACGUUUACUGUGAGAAAAUUAGAGUGUUCAAAGCAGGCAUUUGCUUGAAUAUAUUAGCAUGGAAUAAUCAUGUAUGAUUUUCAUGAUGUAUUUGAUUGGUUUGGUUCAUGAGAAUAAGAUUAAAAGGGACAGUUGGGGGUAUUCAUAUUCAAUAGUCAGAGGUGAAAUUCUCGGAUUUAUGGAAGAUGAACAAG